rnacentral:lncRNA from 1 species
GUUAAAAUAUUAUUUGUGCCUCUUUUUCUGUUAAUAUUCUCCAGGAAUUCAACUACUAAAACAACUAUGACUGGUGACAAUAACAGUUCUCUAUAUUUUAAAUUCCAAAAUGCUUGUUAUUCAGGUAAAAUUAUAAGAGUUAAAUUCAUUACUCUUGUUACAGUGCUAAUGCUAUUGACCUUCUCUUCUGGGUGUUCAACAACUAAAGUUUGGAGACCAAAACUAAAAAGGUAACUGGGCUAUGAGGACAGCCAAUAUUUUGGCCCCAGCCCCUCAAGGUCAACAAAGAUCCAGGACAUGAGGGAACCUUCUCUACAGGGUCCUACAUCUUUGGUGUCCAAUCCUAGAAACCACUGGUCUCCAGAUCUCUCCUUUUAGAUAAGUAUUUUUCUGAUUCUGUGAUAACUAAUUAACUAUCAUGUAGUAAUAAAAAAAAAAACAUAAAGUAAGAGUAUUGGGAAAAAGAUCACCUGCUUGUCAGCCACAGUCAGGAUAAGUUCUAUACCAAGCAGCUACAAGAUUUAUUCCUUUUAAAAUAAUGUACAUCCUUGUUCUCUGUUUAUGAUGCCUCUUUUCUCAUUGUGCUCAUAUUUCCUGGAUACCUACCCAUGUCUAAAAAGAUCAAGCCUUUUAUGUUACAUUUGAUCUCCUUAAGUUGGCCAGUGUCCUUGUUGAGGUUAUCAGUUCUCUUUAUUUUUAAAUAUAUCUAGGAGGCCUCCAAAAACUGAGAGAUACAGGAGUAAAACUGUCCUUUACACAACUAUUCCAUGGCUUUGCUGGAACUAUCAACCUAAAAUGUGUGUUUUCAUGGCCUUGAAUUUAAAGGACAAGUCAGGUUCACAGUAACACUACACUCAUCGGUAUGUUGGCCUCCAAAAGAUAUUUGCUCAGUUACAUACACCUUUUAUAUUCAAAAAAAGAUUAUAAAGAUUAUAUAAAUUGUGUUUAUCACUUUUCCACUCAUUCUGUAAGAGCAAGGACGUGACACAUGGGCCCUUAGAUCAUGAGCUAUGAUCUCUUACUUCUAUAACAAAUGCACCCCUAAACAUCCAGCUGUCUCUGUGAAACCUAUGUAAAUAAUAAUUUAAAAAAUUACACGUCAAAUAAAAAAGACUUAAGACUCAAU